rnacentral:misc_RNA from 1 species
AAGUCGUAACAAGGUUUCCGUAGGUGAACCUGCGGAAGGAUCAUUAACACGUAUCCCCCCUGUGAACAUUCAAACCUGCUCUCGUAGCCCAGUGCGAUCCAGCAAUCCCGGUAAAUCAUUGUCGAACAGUAUUGAUUCGCAAAUGAGAAGUUACAGUUACGAUUGAGCGGAGAUAGCUGCAUGGCAUCCCGAAGCAGUCAGUGUCUGAAAGUGUCAUUGAUUGUCUAAGGAUCUCGCCUCAACGAUUGCCAGAGGUCGCUCACCGACCGGCAGACAUGCAACCGGGUCCCCACGCCCCUUUACAACCCCAUUACCUCUGUGAGUCGCGGGAAACUAGCGGCUAAAAAACCUCGAACAACUGUUAACAAUGGAUAUCUUGGUUCUC